rnacentral:rRNA from 1 species
UACGUAGGGUGCAAGCGUUAAUCGGAAUUACUGGGCGUAAAGCGUGCGCAGGCGGUUGUGCAAGACAGAUGUGAAAUCCCCCGGGCUCAACCUGGGAAUUGCAUUUGUGACUGUACGGCUAGAGUGUGUCAGAGGGGGGGUAGAAUUCCACGUGUAGCAGUGAAAAUGCGUAGAGAUGUGGAGGAACACCGAUGGCGAAGGCAGCCCCCCCUGGGUCAACACUGACGCUCA